UACGUAGGGGGCAAGCGUUGUCCGGAAUUAUUGGGCGUAAAGCGCGUGUAGGCGGCUCGGUAAGUCUGCUGUGAAAGUCCAGGGCUCAACCCUGGAAUGCCGGUGGAUACUGUCGAGCUAGAGUCCGGAAGAGGCGAGUGGAAUUCCUGGUGUAGCGGUGGAAUGCGCAGAUAUCAGGAGGAACACCAAUAGCGAAGGCAGCUCGCUGGGACGGUACUGACGCUAAGGCGCGAAAGCGUGGGGAGCGAACAGG
rnacentral:rRNA from 1 species